rnacentral:lncRNA from 1 species
UCUUAAAUAUAUGUGUAUAUAUAUAGAGAGAGAGAGAGAGUUGAGCUGGAAUACAAUCGAUAGCAAAUAAGUUCUGUUGUUAUUCAUUUGUUUUCAAUGAUGGAGCCUCCAAAUCGAUGAUCGGCAUCGUUGAACAUGAUCUAUACCACUUGAAGCAUCUAAAAACCAAAUUUUAUGUCUUUUCGAUAUUAUUUUCUUGUCCAUAAAUUGGACGCAAAAAUGAACGGCUGAAAAUUAGUAUCUUUUAAAAUAUAAUAAUAGAAGUUUUAUAAUCCAGAUUAAGAGUAUAGAUCUUGUUCUAAAUAGUUUAAAAACUUUUCUAACCAAAAUUUAAUUGAUUCAGAUACUUUACGCCGUUAAACGAGAAAACGUUUUAUAUCGACCACUAAAAUUAUAACUUUUGCAACCCUUUGAUCAUUAGGUUGAUAAUGUCGAAAAAAUUUAAAAUUUGAUUUCUAAAUACUUCAAGUGGCAUAGAUCAUAUUCAAUGAUGCCGAUCAUCGAUUUAGAGCCUUCAUCAUCAACAAUAAAUGAAUGGCAACGAAACCCAUUUGUCAUCGAUAGCAUUCCAGCUCAACUCUCUCUCUCUCUCUCUCUCUCUCUCUCUCUCUCUCUCUAUAUAUAUAUAUAUAUAUAUAGU